UGUUUCCAAGAUGUUUCGUCUAUCGGUUGCAUCACCUGAACUAUACGCGAGACGGUCCCUUUUAGACUGUCCCGAAUGCUAUAUCUAUGUUUUCAUGUUGAACCUCCCAGCUAAACUCAGCUGGUAUGUUCUCGACCGGAAAACAUCAGGUCCUAGUACAGCUAAGAGCUAACAAUCUCUUGGUGGCUGUUCCCUUGCUCCACUUACAUAGUUAUAUGUCUCUACGUUCAAGCUUAGCCGUCGUUGGUUCAACAAUCUUUGUCAUGAGUGCUUGUCUGUAUUG